GGCCUGAAGUCCACUGGGACUACAAGCAAACCACAACACAGUCAGAAAAGGCAGAAUGAGAGAAAUCCCUGGAUACAGAUGGUCCUGCACAGACAUACAGUGUGGGUGAAGUGCUGGAGUGAUGACAUCCAGGCAUGCACAUUACAAUCUUUGUAUUCUUUCUCUUUAGGAUGCUGAGACACCACCUUCAUCUCUUUCAUUUGCCCUGUGUCUGCUAAACUGUUUGGCAUUAUGCCUGGAACAGUGAAUGGCAGCCAUUGCCUAAGCCCUCCUUUAGGUAUCAGUUAGUAUUUGCAGGAAUCUCUCAAAAAGGAUGUUGUUUCAGCAUGGCUUGCCUAAAUUCACUUCCACUGGGAAAUGAGUAUUUGGUACCAGUGUCCUUCUAUUCUAGAAAAAAAAUAUUUUGUUCAGUGCCUUGAUUCUGUCUUAAAAACAUGUAUGGCAAUGUGAGACCUAGC